UACGUAGGGUGCGAGCGUUUGUCCGGAAUUAUUGGGCGUAAAGGGCUCGUAGGCGGUCUGUUGCGUCGGGAGUGAAAACUCAGGGCUUAACCCUGAGCUUGCGGUCGAUACGGGCAUGACUGGAGUUCGGUAGGGGAGACUGGAAUUCCUGGUGUAGCGGUGAAAUGCGCAGAUAUCAGGAGGAACACCGGUGGCGAAGGCGGGUCUCUGGGCCGAUACUGACGCUGAGGAGCGAAAGCGUGGGGAGCGAACAGG
rnacentral:rRNA from 1 species